CUGUAUGUGGUUGUGGGGUUUAGUGGAAUCAUCUUUGUUACUGCUGACGGACAGGGAGAUAUUUCUAUCAACGUGUUGUGGUAAUGAUAUUUACAGUAUUCACAUUAAUGAUACAAUUAAUGAAAUAUGCAAAGCAUGUCUUGGACUUCGAUGUAGACCAAAGUGUCCAGAGGGACAUUAUGGAAAGCAGUGUGAUAAAACCUGUACUUGUGAUGCUGACGUAUGUGACGAUGUGUCAGGAUGCGUCACAGCUGGUAAAAAUUCAUGUGAUAAGUGUUCUUACUUAAGAAUUACAUCUCUUCUGCAUUGAAAAAAUAACUAUUUAUUGGGGAAGGGUCUAGUGAAUCGCGAACUAUAAUUGUUUUAUGUGUUUUUGAUUAGAAUUUUGAUUUUGAUUUCCUCUUCAUAAGAUUAUUAGUAACUAUUUAUUUGCAAUAUUUUCCUUUCAAUUUCUUUGUCCAUACGACCUUUAGUGUAAAUACCAUGCAGAAAGUUUUAAUAUUUGCAAACAUUAUUUUAUCUGUUUUUCUGAGGAACUGCACAAAGUUUCAUUUGAAUUUUUCAGAAGCCAGUGAUAAUUUUCGACAUUUUCUACACUGUUGUCAUAUUUUCUGUCAUGCAUUGAGGCUUGUUUAUUUGA